ACAUAAGUAACGAUAAAGCGGGUGAAAAGCCCGCUCGCCGGAAGACCAAGGGUUCCUGUCCAACGUUAAUCGGGGCAGGGUGAGUCGACCCCUAAGGCGAGGCCGAAAGGCGUAGUCGAUGGGAAACGGGUUAAUAUUCCCGUACUUGGUGUUACUGCGAAGGGGGGACGGAGAAGGCUAUGUUGGCCGGGCGACGGUUGUCCCGGUUUAAGCGUGUAGGUGUGUGUUCCAGGUAAAUCCGGUUCACUUUAACACUGAGGCGUGAGGA
rnacentral:rRNA from 1 species